GGGGAAGGGUAGCUUGCUACCUGACCUAGCGGCGGACGGGUGAGUAAUGCUUAGGAAUCUGCCUAUUAGUGGGGGACAACAUUCCGAAAGGAAUGCUAAUACCGCAUACGCCCUACGGGGGAAAGCAGGGGAUCUUCGGACCUUGCGCUAAUAGAUGAGCCUAAGUCAUUAUUAGCUAGUUGGUGGGAUAAAGGCCUACCAAGGCGACGAUCUGUAGCGGGUCUGAGAGGAUGAUCCGCCACACUGGGACUGAGACACGGCCCAGACUCCUACGGGAGGCAGCAGUGGGGAAUAUUGGACAAUGGGCGAAAGCCUGAUCCAGCCAUGCCGCGUGUGUGAAGAAGGCCUUUUGGUUGUAAAGCACUUUAAGCGAGGAGGAGGCUACUGAGAUUAAUACUCUUGGAUAGUGGACGUUACUCGCAGAAUAAGCACCGGCUAACUCUGUGCCAGCAGCCGCGGUAAUACAGAGGGUGCGAGCGUUAAUCGGAUUUACUGGGCGU
rnacentral:rRNA from 1 species